CUUAAGAGACUACCGUCCGUCUGGUAACAGGCGGAGCCAUGUAAACCCCAUCCGAAGCAAGACCAAAACGAAAGCGACAGGCUUGCCCGGCCUGCUUUCAGGUAGGUCGCUGGAGACACCUGGCAACAGGUGUCCUAGAUAGAUGAUCGCUCAACGACAUAACCCGGCUUAUCGUUCUGCUUAUUUG
rnacentral:RNase_P_RNA from 1 species